UGUUAAAAAUUUCAUUCAUUUCGGCUAUUAAAAACUAGCAUGGCUAACGGAGUAACUAGACAAUUACACAUGACGUGUCGUGCGUACCUCAUUUUAGCUUACAAGAACCAGUUUUUAACAACAGAAAUGAACGGAACUUUUAACA
rfam:Gossypium raimondii Chr04_contig_1290, whole genome shotgun sequence.